rnacentral:rRNA from 1 species
GAUGAACGCUGGCGGCGUGCCUAAUACAUGCAAGUCGAGCGAACAGACGAGGAGCUUGCUCCUUUGACGUUAGCGGCGGACGGGUGAGUAACACGUGGAUAACCUACCUAUAAGACUGGGAUAACUUCGGGAAACCGGAGCUAAUACCGGAUAACAUGUUGAACCGCAUGGUUCAACAGUGAAAGACGGUCUUGCUGUCACUUAUAGAUGGAUCCGCGCCGCAUUAGCUAGUUGGUAAGGUAACGGCUUACCAAGGCAACGAUGCGUAGCCGACCUGAGAGGGGGUCCGCCCACACGGGAACUGAGCCGGGGCCCGGCCCCCUGCGGGAGCCACCGGAAGGGAUUCUCCCGCAAUGGGCAAAGGCCUGCCGGGCCACCCCCGGGGGAGUGAAGAAGUUCUCAGCACCUAAAACCUUUUUUAUGGGGAAAAACAAAUUGUGAAAGUACCUAUGCCCUUUUUGAGGUUCCCUAAUCAGAAGCCCCCGCCUACCUCCGUC